rnacentral:rRNA from 1 species
UACGUAGGGAGCAAGCGUUGUCCGGAAUUAUUGGGCGUAAAGGGCGCGUAGGCGGCGCGGUAUGUCACCUGUGAAAUCUCCUGGCUCAACUGGGAGCUUGCAGGCGAAACUGCCGUGCUGGAGUGUGGGAGAGGUGCGUGGAAUUCCUGGUGUAGCGGUGAAAUGCGUAGAUAUCAGGAGGAACACCUGUGGCGAAAGCGGCGCACUGGACCACAACUGACGCUGAGGCGCGAAAGCUAGGGGAGCAAACAGG